rnacentral:rRNA from 1 species
CCGCGGGAUUAGAGUUUGAUCCUGGCUCAGGACGAACGCUGGCGGCGCGCUUAACACAUGCAAGUCGAGCGAGAACUAGUCCUUCGGGACUAGGGACAGCGGCGAACGGGUGAGUAACACGUGAGUAAUCCACCCUCGGUACCGGAAUAGCCCGGGGAAACUCGGAUUAAUGCCGGAUGGCCCAUUUGCUCUUCGGAGCUGAAUGGAAAAGAUAGCUUCGGCCUUCGACCGGGGACGAGCUCGCGGCGGAUUAGCUUGUUGGCGGGGUAACGGCCCACCAAGGCGACGAUCCGUAGCUGGUCUGAGAGGACGAUCAGCCACACUGGGACUGAGACACGGCCCAGACUCCUACGGGAGGCAGCAGUGGGGAAUCUUGCGCAAUGGGCGAAAGCCUGACGCAGCGACGCCGCGUGAGGGAAGAAGGCCUUCGGGUUGUAAACCUCUUUCAGGAGGGACGAAGCCACUCGGGUUAAUAGCCCAGAGGGUGACGGUACCUCCAGAAGAAGCCCCGGCUAACUACGUGCCAGCAGCCGCGGUAAUACGUAGGGGGCAAGCGUUGUCCGGAUUUAUUGGGCGUAAAGAGCGUGUAGGCGGCUUCACAAGUCCGCUGUGAAAACUCGAGGCUCAACCUCGAGCUGUCGGUGGAAACUGUGUGGCUAGAGUCCGGAAGAGGAGAGUGGAAUUCCCGGUGUAGCGGUGAAAUGCGCAGAUAUCGGGAAGAACACCCGUGGCGAAGGCGGCUCUCUGGGACGGUACUGACGCUGAGACGCGAAAGCGUGGGGAGCGAACAGGAUUAGAUACCCUGGUAGUCCACGCCGUAAACGAUGGGUGCUAG